UUUUCAUGACCAAAUUCUGCAGAACAAAUGCCAGCUAAGGAUUAUUCCAAUUGUCUUCAGGGUUGAGCUAUUUUUCCUCUCCCAUGGUUUUAGUUAUAGAAAUAAAAAUUGUCGGCAUCAGAAUUCUGGUAUAUCUAAUCUGGUCAUAUAUGCACAUUAACAACAUCAUUUUCUUUAUCUGAGUUGCUUAAUUAGUCAUUAGUGUUUUACAUAUCAAAAUUGAAAAAGCAGCCUUACUAAAUGUGGAUGUGUAGAAUUGGUGCAUCGUGAUGAUAAUCAUUGGACCAAUCUUGUUGUUUGUACGAAAUCGGUCCAUGGUAUUUUUGAGGUUGUGACCAAUGGUAUCUAUAUAUAAUCAUAUGAUUAUAGGAAUCCAGUUAUUUUUCUACUUCUAUUGCUUCCUUCAUGUUUUUUCCCUUUUUGGUUGAAAUUUAUCUCUAACUUAUUUACAGUUGAGAUUUUCAUGUUUUGGUUUUGCUAAUGUUAGCGGAAUUCGGUUUAAAUAUUGGUUAGCCAAGCUUGGGCUAUUGAGUAAGCCGAAUUUAAAUACCUUAAUGUCCGACUUAGAGUGGCUUGUAAGUUUACAUUAAGGGUUUUUAUUUUUUUGAACUAAUAUUGAAAAUACCAAUUGAAAUCCGAACUUAAGACAAAUAAUUUUUUAGGUUUAGUCAAGGUUGUUUGAAUCGGACCAGGAUCUUGGUUCGGAGAAGGGCAUUGAAUCGAUUGACCCAGGAACCAGUAUGGAUGAUUGUAUUGGGCGAAAAACUGGUUGAACCUGACCGUUGAAUCAGAUUUUUUUUUAUGAACUUUUUAAUGAUUUAUUUAAUUGUAUCGGUUGAACCAAUGAAUCGGUGGCCUGAUCAGUUUUACUAUUGGUCCGGUUUCGAAAACCUUGGAUUUUUGAGAAUCAUGUUCACCUUUUGCUAGGUAAAGAAGUCCAAGUUGAUUUUUAUCUUGAAUCAAGUUAUGUUUUGAAAGUAAAUUUGAUCAAGUUGGAAUUGAGUUUUGAGGUGUAAACACUAAUGGGAAUGUGAAUUUGUUACUAUUACAGAUGAGGAUGCCCAAUGUUUGGCCCUUUCUUAAACUUGGAAUCAAAAAGCAUAGACAACGGAUAUGUGUUUGGCCACCAUUUGUGCACAAAAUAUGGAGUUCAUUGUUGCUAUAUAGUGGGAAUUGAUGGGCUCGAAUCCUCCUAGGAGACUUUGAUUUCCUUAGCUCACCAAGAAACACCCCUGCCAUUGCCCAUGUCCUUCCUUCCUUUUGAGGAUUGCAGUACCUCGUCGCAUCGAGAUUCCAAAGGAAAAGCCUUAUGUUUUGUUUAAACGACAAGAACAAAUUACAAGGUGUUAUUCAACUUGCAAUUUAACGUGUGCCAACAUAAGCAUCAACACUCAAGUCAUAUGUAUAUACAGCCAGGAAAUCGACAUCUUUUGGAAGGGUCCUAAUCCAAGCAUUAUAAUUGAACAUAGCCUUGGAAUACUGUCUAAAAAAAUUGUUGUCUAAUAAUCAAUUGUGCAUCCCUUCAUUUGAAUAUUGUUUGGAACCCUAAAAAAACAUAAAUGUGUUUUUUCCUUAGUUGGCAUGUAUUAUGCAAUAAGAAAAAUAAAGAGUACAAUUAAUAUGUUUAAA